rnacentral:rRNA from 1 species
GGGAAUUCGAUUAGAGUUUGAUCAUGGCUCAGGAUGAACGCUGGCGGCGUGGAUAGGGCAUGCAAGUCAAGGGGACCGCAAGGUAACCGGCAGACGAGAUAGUAUAAAAUAGGUAACAAACCCAAGAGUCAGGAAUAGCUUGUCGAAAGACAAGGUAAUACUUGAUGGCCCGUAUGCGGACUUUGAACAGAAAUUUAUUUUUGUGUUUAAAGUCCGCAUACGGUAAAGAUUUAUCGCUUUUGGAUUGGCCUGUUCGGUAUCAGCUAGUUGGUAGGGUAAUGGCCUACCAAGGCAAUGACGCCUAGGGGAAGUGAGAGCUUGAUCCCCAUCGAUGGAACUGAGACACGGUCCAUACACCUACGGGUGGCUGCAGUSGAGAAUAUUCGACAAUGGGCGAAAGCCUGAUCGAGCGACGCCGCGUGGAGGAAGAAGUGCU